UACGUUCAUCUCUGGCUGUAUAGCUAAGACCUGUAUAGCUAAGACGGAAGUAAGGGGUUCUAUUGGAAUCUGGUUCUAUUUAAAUUCAAUAGGCUGAUCCAAUAGGCUGAUCGAGUCUGAUUGCUUAAUUAGAUUUUAGACGGCCCUUGAAGGAACGCAUG
rnacentral:ncRNA from 17 species